AUACGGAGGGUGCGAGCGUUGUUCGGAAUUAUUGGGCGUAAAGAGCAUGUAGGCGGUCUGUUUAGUCUGGUGUGAAAGCCCGGGGCUCAACCCCGGAAGUGCAUUGGAUACUGGCAGACUUGAGUAUGGGAGAGGAAAGCGGAAUUCCGAGUGUAGGAGUGAAAUCCGUAGAUAUUAGGAGGAACACCAGUGGCGAAGGCGGCUUUCUGGACCAAUACUGACGCUGAGAUGCGAAAGCGUGGGGAGCAAACAGGAUUAGAAACCCGGGUAGUCC
rnacentral:rRNA from 1 species